rnacentral:rRNA from 1 species
UACGGAGGAUCCGAGCGUUAUCCGGAUUUAUUGGGUUUAAAGGGUGCGCAGGCGGGAGAUUAAGUCGGCGGUGAAAUUUUGCAGCUCAACUGUAAAAGUGCCAUUGAUACUGGUUUCCUUGAGUGUGGAUGAAGUAGGCGGAAUUUGUGGUGUAGCGGUGAAAUGCAUAGAUAUCACGAGGAACUCCGAUUGCGCAGGCAGCUUACUAAACCAUAACUGACGCUCAGGCACGAAGGCGUGGGGAUCAAACAGGAUUAGAUA